UAGGGAAUCUUCCACAAUGGGCGCAAGACCUGAUGGAGCAACACCGCGUGAGUGAAGAAGGGUUUCGGCUCGUAAAGCUCUGUUGUUAAAGAAGAACACGUAUGAGAGUAACUGUUCAUACGUUGACGGUAUUUAACCAGAAAGUCACGGCUAACUACGUGCCAG
rnacentral:rRNA from 1 species